CGAAGAGUAAAUAUAUUAUUAUAGAGGAAAACAACAUUUUCUUCUCCCUCCUCCUCUCUCUCUCAUCUCAGUUUUCCACAAAAGAGUUGAAUUUUUUUGGCCCUUUCUGGGUGUGAGAGUGGCUGCCAUGAGUGACGCUUCCCAUAGCAGAAACCCCUCUAUGGAAACUGAUCAGGAUGGAUAUAGGGAUCAUCAAGAUGAUCAGCAGGAUAUAGACGGUAGAGGAUAUCGAUUGGUCAUACCAGAAGAUGGAUAUGAAUGGAAAAAAUAUGGCCAGAAGUUCAUAAAAAAUAUUGGCAAAGUCAGAAGCUAUUUCAAGUGCCAAAGAAGUAAUUGUGGUGCGAAGAAGAGAGCAGACUGGUCCACCUUGGAGGCCGGUAGUCUACGAGUGGUGUAUGAUGGGGUGCAUAGCCACGAGUUGCCCUCAUUAAUAUCCCAAGCCGACCAACGUCAUCAUGGAAGUACUACUAGUACCAAUUCAUCAUCAUCAUCUGCCAACCAAUAUGAUUUGUUGACACAAGUUUUUGGAGAUCAUUAUCGAUCAUUAACUAAUGCUCAUCAUCAACAUCAUGAUCAUGAGAAUUAAUAAUGAAUGAUGGAUCAAGUACUACAGCUUGCCUUGCAGCUUAUUAUAUAUGUAUUUGAUCGCAACAGUACCAGUACUCAUCGAUCGAAGGAUCGGAUGAGAUUAGCAUUAAUAAUCUUUCGUCUGAGCGUGGAAUGCAGUGCAGUUGGUUCAAAUGUUACUUUGUAAUGCUGGAAAUGCAUCGAUCGAAGCGCAUAACUGGUAAUUAAUUUUCAAAUAUUAAUCAUGAAGUAGAUUCCUAAAAGGUAUGU